GCCCGGCGCGGUGGCGCGUGCCUGUAGUCCCAGCUACUAGGGAGGCUAAAGCUGGAGGAUCUCUUGAGCCCAGGAGUUCUGGGCUGUAGUGCGCUAUGCCGAUCGGGUGUCCACACUAAGUUCGGCAUCAAUAGAGUGAACUCCUGGGAGUGGGGGACCACUAGGUUGCCUAAGGAGGAGUGAACCGGCCCAGGUCAGAAACGGAGCAGGUCAAAAUUCCCGUGCUGAUCAGUAGUGGGAUCGUGCCUGUGAAUAGCCACUGCAUUCCAGCCUGGGCAACACAGCGAGACCCUGUCUCU
rnacentral:SRP_RNA from 1 species